rnacentral:tRNA from 1 species
CAUGGCCAAGCGGUAAGGCGGUGGACUCUGACUCCAUAAUCGAAGGUUCGAAUCCUCCUG